rnacentral:tRNA from 1 species
CGUGGCUUAAGAGCACCAGCUUUGGGAGUUGGUAGGUGCGGGUUCGAGUCCCGUCG